UAUUCUAUAUAUGACCGUUUCAGCUGGCCAUAGAAGAAAGUAUUCAAAAGGAAAAUUAAUUUAUGAACAAACAUUAUUACAGAGACAAUGUUAAAGAAAAAAAAUGCUCCAAAGAUGUCUAAAAAAUUUGCUGACUAAAUAAUCCAACUUUUUUUAUUUGAUAAUGAAUCAUCAGAAAUUUAUAGGUUCACUGAUUGGCUGACUAAUUGAUGUGCAACUUCUUUUAUUUAAUAAUGAACCAUCAGAAAUUUAUAGAUGCACUGAUUGGCUGACUAAUAGAUGCGCAAGAUUAAUCCAUAUCAUGUCAAAUUAAUUGAAGAAAAGAAGGCCGUUGGUCUACAAAUGAAGCACAACUUCAUCUAAAAUUCAAACACGCGAUUUAUAUUCUUUUUAACAAAAGUGUAUCCAUCGUAGAUAUGCAUUGGAGGGAUUAAUUAUAAUUCAUGAGAUAAUCAUAGGAUAGCAUAAAUAAUUUUUAACCCUAAUUUUACAAAUGUUUCAAAAUCUUUAACAGACGAAACAGAACAUUCAAAUGUGUGUCAGUCAAACAUAUUGUUAGUACAACCAUAUGCUUGUCUCAUAUUCAAUCAAAAUAACUAAAAUCAUCUAAAACUUUUUCCUAGAACAUGAAAGAUCAUUCAACCAUUCAACUAUGCACAAAAUCAUAUGACGUCCUAUGAUUGCAAUUGCAUUCAAUUUUCCACGAGCUGAAAGCUCCACACUACACGAUCUGAUGAAAGUUCAGAAUUCAUUUAAAUUUACCAUAUCUUACUAGCACUAGCAUUCAUUUGGACAAGACACAUUUCUAGUAGUAAAGCAGCAAAAAGUUAUUUUCCCUUUGGAUCGUUCCAAUGUAGAAAAGGUACAAGCAGAAGAUACCUUUUAGGACACAUAAAAACAGAAAGAUUUGAAAGAUGGCAGUAUUUUUCAGUUAACCAAAAUUGUCAGAGUCACUGAUUGUUACCAUGCAAUUGGGUUCACUAAAAGCCUGCAAUGAUGUCUAAUACCAAAGAAUAUCGUGAAUACUGAAAAUGGUAAUUCAACUAUCCCAUCCUGAUUCCUCUUUCAGAAAUCAUUCCUCAAAAACAAAUCUGGGUUUUCUUUUCCCAAAAUGUAUACGAUGUGCGUAUGGAGAAAAACAAAGAGAAAGCUAAUUAAAUUUUGUGCAAUAACUUCCUUGUGGAAGGGGGAACAUUUGAGAUAAGGGCCAAAACAUCAGUUUUAUAAUUGAAGUGGUAAACACCAACUCCAUAGUUUAGCCAACAAAAGAUACAACGCCAAUUGAUUAGGUGAAUUAAAUACCGUAUCUUUCUUGAAAUUCAGGUG
rnacentral:misc_RNA from 1 species